rnacentral:rRNA from 1 species
CCUACGGGAGGCUGCAGUGAGGAAUAUUGGUCAAUGGGCGCGAGCCUGAACCAGCCAAGUCGCGUGAGGGAAGACGGUCCUAUGGAUUGUAAACCUCUUUUGUCGGGGAGCAAAAGACGCCACGCGUGGCGUUCCGAGAGUACCCGAAGAAAAAGCAUCGGCUAACUCCGUGCCAGCAGCCGCGGUAAGACGGAGGAUGCGAGUGUUAUCCGGAUUUAUUGGGUUUAGGGGGUGCGCAGGCGGAAGAUCAAGUCAGCGGUAAAAUUGAGAGGCUCAACCUCUUCGGACCGUUGAAAAUGGUUUUCAUGAGUGAGCGAGAAGUAUGCGGAAGGCGUGGUGAAG